CCUACGGGAGGCAGCAGUGGGGAAUAUUGGGCAAUGGGCGCAAGCCUGACCCAGCAACGCCGCGUGAAGGAAGAAGGCCCUCGGGUUGUAAACUUCUUUUGUCAGGGAUGAAACAAAUGACGGUACCUUACGAAUAAGCCACUGCUAACUACGUGCCAGCAGCCGCGGUACUACGUAGGGGGCAAGCGUUAUCCGGAUUUACUGGGUGUAAAGGGCGAGUAGGCGGGAGAGCAAGUCAGAUGUGAAAUUCCAGGGCUCAACCCUGGAACUGCAUUUGAAACUGUUUUUCUUGAGUGAUGGAGAGGCAGGCGGAAUUCCGUGUGUAGCGGUGAAAUGCGUAGAUAUACGGAGGAACACCAGUGGCGAAGGCGGCCUGCUGGACAUUAACUGACGCUGAGGCGCGAAAGCGUGGGGAGCAAACAGGAUUAGAUACCCGAGUAGUC
rnacentral:rRNA from 1 species